AGAAUCAACGCUGGCGGCGUGCCUAACACAUGCAAGUCGCACGAGAAAGCGGACUUCGGUCCGUGAGUAAAGUGGCGCACGGGUGAGUAACACGUGAAUGAUCUACCUCCGAGUGGGGAAUAACUGAGAGAAAUCUUAGCUAAUACCGCACAACACUUAUGAGUCAAAGCAGCAAUGCGCUUGGAGAGGAGUUCGCGGCAGAUUAGUUAGUUGGCGGGGUAAUGGCCCACCAAGACAAUGAUCUGUA
rnacentral:rRNA from 1 species